CUUGGGUAGCCCAGUCAUCAGCAUUCCACAGACUUGAAUAUAAUUUCAUUGGCUGACUCUUUGGGAAUGGAAUUCCAAUUGAUUCCCAGUUCUUGAAUUCUCUGAUGGGUGUUGCGUCAACUGAAAAUCUGCAUUUGGGUAAAAUAUGUAGAUAAAAUGUAGACUCACAUAGUAAGCAGUGACAGUUCCGGCAGAGUUGCCUCGUACGAGCUUGAGCUGCAUGUCAAUCUUGCCAAAAAGAUAUUCGUUCUUAGACUGGAAGCCAGAGCCAGAGGUCUUAUCAAGGGACAGGGUAAGCAACUGGCCAUUGUUGAUAAUUUUACCGCGUCCAUCGCCCCAAGUAAUGUCAAAAUCUUUGUAGAAGUUUCCAGCAGAAGCAAUGGCAAUGAAGGAAGCAAACAGUAGGAAUACGAUAGUUUUCGUUCCCGCCAUUGGUGUUUCAAAGGACACAAGUGAUUUGUUUUUCGUGUAAGUUGUAAGAUGGAAAAUGUGUUAAUUGUUGUGAUGUAUUUUUAGUUGAUUUGUGAGGUUGAUUGGUGAGUUUAGAAGAGAAGGGGGUGUUAUUUAUAUGUGCGUAGGGAGGACUAAAAGAAGGGCCAAGAAAUGAGCGGGAAGGUUCGGAAGUAUGAAGGUGAAACAGCUAGAUAUUAACCGUAAAGCAAAUGGAAUGAGGAGGUCAUAAUUUUAGAAACUACUAGUACUCACCAUAUUAGGUCUGGCUCCACGCGUACCUAAUCUUUAUGUUUUAUUGCACACGGUUUCCCAAAAAAGGAGGCUUGGGUUUGUUGUGCAUGUCCACUAAUGACUAACCUAAUCACUAAAGGGGGGUAUGGUAUCAAAUUGGUAGUAUAUAAAUAAAUGGUUUUUGAUAGAUUGGAAUAAAAAAAGUCAACUUUGAUGUAGUGCUUGAAAAAGUUGGGACUAUUUUAUUUUUAUAACGAAAGAAAAUUUAGACUAUGCAUUAAUAUAGGAUCAACCAAACACAUUUUUACGGAUGAUGAAAAAAGCAUAGGAUUAUCAAGUUCAAACCAAUGAUCAAGAUUCCAAAUCGAAUGACCUUUAUAUGUUAGGAAGUUCGCAACUUGAUUAGCCUCACUAAAACAGUGAUUAAUAGUGAGUAGUGAUCGAAAAAACCAGCAGACUUAUAGAGUUGAUAACCACUAGAUUAUCACCCUCAACGCAAAGAUGCUUAGUUCCUUGUGAAAUGGCUGUCUUAAUACUUUUCUACAUCCAUGCAGUUGAAAUCGAGGUAUUAGGGUGAAGACUGAUAUACCCCCCCAAUAAGAUAUAUAUUUCUUAGAUGAUCUUUGAUUAAGAAGCCAAAAGAAACGUUCUCAUUGUCGACUUUUGAGCCAUCAAAGUUAAGCUUAUAUAGAUGUAACUCACCACUUCUUUGAUAGUCCUGAUAUGCUUAUAUGUCUAGUGGAUUUUGAAAUUAAAAUAUAAAUUCGAUCCUCUAAAUUAAGCGCAUGCUUCCAGUCUUUCAAUUUUCUUUUUGAAUUUUAGUAGGAAGGAGGGGAGAGUACCUCUUCUUGAUAAAUAAAAAAGUUGGGACUAUUAGAUAAACUGAUAUAUAAAAAGCAGCUCUAGUGUUAUAUAUAGGUCUAAAAUCUUAUGAAAUGUAACUUUUUUCAAUAGGAUUAACUUUAAUUUGUACUUAAUAGUAUUUUAUGUUAUUUUCCCCCUUUCUCUUUUAUAUGGCACAACAACUAAAACAAUAAUGAUGUCAUGUAUAUUAAGAAAAGUCCAAAUAUCGGUAAGGUUUAGGCUUAUAUGAUGCCGGAACUUUAUCUUUAAUAUCUAUUUGUCAAAAGCCCAUAUUUUUUCUUUUAUCAAUAUGUCAUACGUGACCUUUUUUUUUUUAUGCUUCACUCUAUCAAAUACCUUUGAUUUUUUUUAUAUACCAAUAUGGUAAUUUGGCUUAUUAAAUGGUGCCUUCUCUUUACUUUUAAGUUUUUAACUGUUAAUCAACUUUAAUCAAACUAUUCAAGCCUAUUAACAUGUAAACAAAAAAGAUCAAACUAGAGUUGAUUAGGUCAAAUUUGAUUUAAUGAGUUUAGUUUAGAUAAUUUUAAGUGAAGCAAAUGCAUCCUAAAAAUAUAUAUUUUUUGAUGUUAUACUUCCUUUAUUUUUAUUUUAAUGUGCACAUUUUUUGAUGCACAACUAUAACCAUUAGUUAGUCGUGGAAAAAAAAAACUUCGACCAUCGUUACUAAACAAUCCAAGUGAAGGUAAAAGGUAAAACUGUAAAAUAACAAGGUAAAUUGACUUAAUCGACUUUUCAUAUUGCUUAAGUGUCACACAAUGGUAUAACAAGCCAUGAUAGUCCUUUAACAAUGAUUUGAGGAACUUUUGGCUGGUUUAUAAAUCAAAUUCAUCAGGCACAUAUCUCAUGCAUAAAAUACAGCAUAACAUAAGUGAAGACUUGAAGUAGACAAAACGCCAAAUAAACUGACUGCCAAGAUAGAUUCCACUGAUUAGCACUAAGAACUUGAUCAUACAAGUCCAAAAGGCUUAUUAAGGUAUAUACAAAGAAUCAUUUCUGUUUCAGCUUCAUCUGUAUUGACUUAACUCAAAUCACAAAAGAUUGACAGCAUCAUGUUGGUAAGUAAAUCCUCGCCGCUCAGCUCAGGCCAAACUCUGCUGCAGCUGAAAAUUGAAAGCAACAUCAAUGUCUUCAAUAAUAGUUAAGGCAAAAGGAAAACUCAAUACAGUUCAAAGGACCGUAUUUUGAAGACUUUAAUUAGAGAUUCUAGCAUUGAUUUCCACUCCAAGAAGAUCAUGAGUAUCUAUCCAUUUUCCAACACAAGCACACAACAGCAAAAGAAAUUGUGUGAAUCACUGUCUUGCGAACUCAAUCAAAAUUUCUCCAACUCAUUAUUGAGGUAACAAUUUUUAUGCCCUUUCUUACUGUAUGAUCUCCAUGCUUUAGACACUAGCACACAAUAUGCACCAAAAUACAAUUUAUGUAUGUGCUUUACAAUUCAAAGAUCAUGGUGAAAAGCAUCAGUAACCUCACAAAGGCACUUCUUUUUCUAUCCUUAUCCCUAGCAGGAUCAUAUAAAAGAAGACGAUGGAAGCAGGUAUAACAAGACAGGUGGAACUUUCUAAUGGGAAAAGGGAGAAUAGGUGGUUAAUUCUUAGACUGCAAAAAUCCAGCAACAUACAUAAGAUUAAAAUUUUCUGUCGUACAUGCUUAUAACGAAAUGUUAAAGUUUUACCACUCUACUAAGGCAAAAAGAAAGUCCACAAUUCAAAAGGAAAGUGUGCUGAAGAGUCAAAUUCGAGUUUCCAUUAGCAUUACCUAUACUUAAGAUUCUAGUAUGAAUUUCCACUUUAAGGAGAUCAUGAGUAAUCUAUUCAUUCUCCAACACAAGCACAUUACUUGCACCAAAAGAAACUAUCUUGUGAAUCCUAAAUAAUGUCGCCACCUAAUUGAGGUAACAAUUUCUGCACUAACAAUUUUUCUGUUGGUUUCAAUUCAAUGUUCUAUUUUAAAGCAACUGCGCUCUCAGUAUUCAGUAGUAUGAUAUUUGUCCCUCAAUCUCUUAUAUUAGCUUUUCUCAACACAAUGUCAACAAGCACUUUACAUAAUGCCCGUGGAGAAGCUCCCGCCUCGAGUAGAAUGUUACACGGAGGGUAUCAAAUGUAUGCACCAGCAAGCAUUAAUAGUCUCAUAAAAAGAUUCCUUGUUCUAUUUUUAAUCCCUAGCAAGAUCAUAUGUAAGAAGACGAUGGAAGCAGCCAAGCAGGUAUAGCUAAACGGGUGGAAACUUUCCAAAGGGUAUAAGGUGAAUAGGAUAUUUUUCUCUCCUUCAGAAGCUUGGAAAACUAAAUUUGUCUACAUAAGAACCAAAUCCUAAAGUCUUGUAUGGCCCAAAUGAUAGCCCUGUCAUAGAGUGGUAAAAACCGCCAGUCAAAGCAUCUAUCACGCAAUAAAACAAAGGCCAGCCAGUAAAAGCUCUGCAUAUUUCUUUCUCCAGCAUGUGGCUCAAGUAACUCACAGGCCACAGCAUUCCAUGCAUGCUCUUUGCAGGGAGAUUAGAGACUCAGUGCAAAAAUGUCACCAGAAAAAGGGUUCAAACACAUGCAACUCAGAGAAUCCUCUUGCAACUUCCAUCCAUCUAGUCAUUCAUCUAAUUACUUAAAUCCCUCAUUCCUAUGCUAUAAAUAGUUUGCUGUAUGCAGCUGCGCUGCUCACUUCUAUUUAUAUACUGGUUACCUGAAUCUACUUUGGUCCUUCAAUGUCCCAAAUAUAGAUCCCCAUCGGCGUUCUAA